AACCGGAGUAGUGCAUUGGAAGCUGGGAGACGUGAGUGCAGAAGAGGAGAGUGGAUCUACAUGUGUAGCGGUGAAAUGCGUAGAUAUAUGGAAGAACACCAGUGGCGAAAGCGGCUCUCUGGUCUGGAACUGACGCUGAGGUUCGAAAGCGUGGGUAGCAAACAGG
rnacentral:rRNA from 1 species